AUGAGCUCUGAAAAUGCCUAUAGAUGGACUUUCUCAUGUGAUGUAGGAGGCCAGACUAUAUGACCAUAGUAAUUCUUUCCCGCUUUAUUCUGUAUGAGAGGCUGAUUCCACUUGCAUAAAACUUCACUUUAUUAGUGCCAUUGUCAAGGUCAACAUCGGUGGUACUUGAUUCUGGAAGGCUGGCUUUUCUAAUCAACUUUCUCAGAGGAAUUCAUUAUCUGAAAACCUGUGACUAAUGAAAGAUGUUUUGUUCUUUUGAAGUUCAAGCUAAUUUCCAUGAAGGUUACUAUUACUAAGCAACAGAUUCUGUGGAGUGUCUCCUGAGGGGCUGAAACUACAGUGCGUACGAAAGUAAAGCAAAACACAGUGAAAAAAUGAUGAAAUAUUAUCCCCAGACAGAGAAGCCACAAAUAGUACCAAGUACAGGGCCUGUUUUGGAGUCUCCUUCCUUGAAAGCUGUUGUUUGACCAAUGGAAAAACUCCCGCGGGAGGAAAAAAUCAGCAUAAGCCAUAUCACAAUCUACUGUGAAUGUAAAGCAAGAUUCAGCCUCUGCUCAAAUGUAGAGAUACCUCACAGCAUGACCAAGGGGAAAAAAAGAAGUUCCGAAUAUAAUUCAGCAUACUCAGUUCUUCUGAGAAAAGCAAUCACCUGUAAUACAUUAGCCACAUUAAAAGAAGAAUGGUUAUUCUAGUUAUGAGGAUAGAGUGAAAUGAAAUACAGGAGUGCUUUCUGAAGUCAAAAAAGAUGAUGUCAUCUUCUAUGCAGCUAUGUGUCAGAGUAGAAAUAUAUAUUUGCAGCUUGCUUAAGUAAAAAAAUACACCUGGAUAUUCAGCUUUUUGAGGCUAGAGAUUUCACUCUGUCCUCUUACUUUGGCUUUAUCCACUGGCUUUGCUAAAUACAAGGUACAAAUAAUUGAGGAUAAAGGAAAAAAAACCAAACCCCACAAUUACUUUCCAUAAUCUUUUCAAUGUUUGAGCAAGUGCCUUUGGUCUUGUCCUUUUUUUGUGUGUGUGUGUUCAGUUUGCCUAACUGUUUAAGUGAUGCAGUUUUCUAGCAUAAAAUUUGCAUGAGAUGAAUUUCAAUACUUGUUCAAUAGAGUUUAUAAACUUUACAGUAAUAAAAAUAUCAAUAUCGUACAACUUAACUCACUAUCAUGGUAUGUGUAGGAGAUGUACAAUCUGGAAAUAAGUAAAAUGUUCUAAAUAUUUGAGUUAAAUAAUAAAUAUAUCUGGUCAUGAAUGUCAGACUCCCAAAGGUAAGGACAGAAUGUCCAAAAUCAUUGUCAGCAUAGAAAUCUCCUUACCCCUCCAAGUAUUUUUUGUUUGCUCUGAUCAUUCCAGUCACAGUUUCUUUUUAACACAGUUUUGGCGUUUGUUUUCCCAAAUAUACAUAUCUUCUGACACUCCAAAGGAAAGAUGUAUUAUUAUCCAAAUCUUUAUAAAGUGAGAAA